AUCAAAAACAUGUCUUUUUGAUAAAAAUUUAAGGUCUGGUCUGCUCAAUGAAUAAUUAUGAUAUUUUAAUAGCUGCAGAAUUUUAACUGUACAAAGGUAGCAUAAUAAAUAGUUUAUUAAAUGUAAACUGGAAUGAAUGAUUAAAUAAAAUGUUGACUGUAUCUUUAAAAGAGUAAAACUUUAUUUUUGUGUUAAAAAGCAUAAUUGUAGUUAUGGGACGAGAAGACCCUAUAGAUUUUUAUUAUCAAUGGAGUAUAAAUUAAAGUGUUGAUAAUUUGGGUGGGGUACUUUUUAAAUAAAAUGAAUUUUAAAUAUGUUUUACAUAAAUUUAUGAUUCAAAUAUAGGAGAAUAAUAAACUAUUUAUAAAACUAAAAUACCUUAGGGAUAACAGCGUAAUAAGUUUAAAAAGAUCAAAUUUUUGAAUGUGUUUGCGACCUCGAUGUUG
rnacentral:rRNA from 1 species